rnacentral:sRNA from 1 species
GCCACCAGGGGCAAAAAAUAAACAAAAAAAACAAAAAACAAAAAAAACAAAAAACAAAAAAAACAGGGCAAACAAUAAGAUAUUGAAAGCCUGAGAGGAAAAGCUGUAGAGUGAGUUUUUGUGGAGGAAUAGGAGCUUUGAAAAGCUAUUGUGGAUGAGAAACUAGAAAGCCAAGUGCACAGCUCAGGGCAGUAUGCGUGCUCAGAAAAGACCUGAGAAGGCCAUUAGCUUUCACCUCUGGCUUGUCUUUAGGUUCAACACAAACAGGAAGUGAAUAUUCAGGUAGAUUUAUAAAGGCCCUGGCUAAGUUUUGAAGGAGUGCCUCAACAGCUAAUCAGCAGAGACCUGGCGAGCAUUUUACUUUUCUUUUUCUUUUUUUGUUUCUUUUUGGUUUAUUUGUUUUGAAAUGUGGUCUUGCUGUGUUGCUCAGGCUAAUCUUGAACUCGUUGGCUCAAGCGAUCCUUCCACUUCAGCUUCCUGAGUAGCUGGAAUUACAGGCACACACCACUGCAUCCAUCUCUUUUUGUUUUUGUUUUAUUUUUUACACAUUAUAAAUGUUCAGUUUUUUAAAAAAAAAUUACGAAGCAUGUGAAGAAUCUAGAAAAUAUGCUUCAUUCACAAGAAAAAAGAAAUGAACAGAAACUACCCCGAGGAAGCACUAAUACUAGAAUUACUAGACAAAAACUUUAAAUCAGCUAUCUUAAGUAUACUCAAAGAGCUAAAGGACACCAUGGAGAAAGAACUAAAGGAAUUCAAGAUAAUAAUGUCUCAACAAAUAGAGAAUAUCAAUAAAGAGAAAUUUUUAAAAGUAGGCAAAGAGAAAUUUUGGAGCUGAAGGUUACAAUAAUUGAAAUGAAAAUUCACUAGGGGAGCUCAACAAAAGAUAUGAGCAGACAGAAGAAUCAGCAAACUUGAAGAUAGGUCCACUGAAAUUAUAUAGUUUGAAGAGCACACAUUUAAAAGAUUGAAGAAAAAUGAACAGAGUCCAGGAGAUGUGUGGGAUACCAACAUAUGUAUCAUGGUAAGGAGUGGGAGAAAGGUGCAGAAAACAUGUUUAAGAAAUAAUUGCCAAAACCAUUUCAAAUUUGAUAAGACAUGAACAUACACAUCCAAGAAGCUCAGCUAACACCCAAGAAGGAUAAACUCAAAGACAUCCAUACAAGACGCAUUAUAAUUAAAAUUUCCGAAGCCAGAGAUAAAAAGAGAAUCUUGGAAGCAGCAAGAGAGAAGCAACUUGUAACAUAUAAGGGAUCUUAAAUAAGAUGAAUUUCUGUUGAUUUCUUAGUGGAAACCAUGGAGGCUAGAAGGCAGUGGGAUGACAUAUUUAAAGUGAUGAAAGACAGACCUGCCAACCAAGAAUUCUAAAUCUGGCAAACCUAUCCUUCAGGAAUUAAGAAGAAAUCAUGACAUACCCAGAUAAACAAUAGCUGAGGGGGCUUCAUUAUUAAUAGACCUGCCCUGUAAGAAACGCUAAAAGGAGUCUUCAGGCUCACCACAGAUCUAUUAAAUUUUCUUUUUGGCAUAGGACGGAAACAUACGCAUUUUAAUUAAACAUUUGUAAUUUUUCUUACACAGCAAAACCAAAAACCCCACAAUGGAAAAUCAUUUUCUGUUCACCAGUUGUUAAAAACUUUUUUUAAAAAAAGUCCUGUGAUAUCAAGUGCUUGCCAGGAUGUGGCACAGUAGAAACUCUUAAACACUUGGUGGGUGUUUAAAUUGCUACAACCAGUUUGGAAAACAAUUUGUCAUUACCCAGUAAAGUUGAAGAUGUAUAGAUCAUGUAAUAGUUUUACAGACCAAAAAUAUAGAAACUCUGGUACCUCUGCAGAAGAAGACAUACAGUAAUAUUCACAGUGGCCAUUUGUAAUAUAAAAAACUGUAAACAAUCCAGCUGUUUAUUGAUUGAUUUUUCUAACAUGUGACUUAUUUCUGGUCUUUACUAGCUUUGGGGCCAUUUGGAUCACACGAUGUUUUUUCAAGAUUUUAGACCAUUUCUAAGUAGCAAUCCACUGGACCAAGAUAAUAGAGCCAAUGAAAGGGGUCACCAGACUCACACUGACUUCUGGGGAGCAAGACCUCCACGGUUGCCAUUGGGUCGGAGAUACAGAUCUCGAGGAAGUUCUCGUCCUGACAGAUCUCCAGCUAUUGAAGGAAUACUACAACACAUCUUUGCAGGAUUCUUUGCAAAUUCUGCCAUUCCUGGAUCUCCACACCCUUUUUCCUGGAGCGGGAUGCUGCACUCCAACCCUGGGGACUAUGCCUGGGGUCAGACAGGGCUUGAUGCCAUUGUAACCCAGCUUUUAGGACAACUGGAAAACACAGGCCCUCCCCCAGCUGACAAGGAAAAGAUCACAUCUCUUCCAACAGUGACAGUAACUCAGGAACAAGUUGAUAUGGGUUUAGAGUGUCCAGUAUGCAAAGAAGAUUACACAGUUGAAGAGGAAGUCCGGCAGUUACCUUGCAAUCACUUCUUUCACAGCAGUUGUAUUGUGCCAUGGCUAGAACUGCAUGACACAUGUCCUGUAUGUAGGAAGAGCUUAAAUGGUGAGGACUCUACUCGGCAAAGCCAGAGCACUGAGGCCUCUGCAAGCAACAGAUUUAGCAAUGACAGUCAGCUACAUGACCGAUGGACUUUCUGAAGCUAAAGACCACACCUGAAUCAGGGCUGUGGUAAUCAUCUUACCAUAGCUGUAAAUUGUAUCAAAACAAAAAAUUAGUAGAUGGAUUUAGGAAUCACAUAAGAAACAACACAUAAUAUAAAUGCAAUGAAUGUUUUUCUUCUUUAAAUUUAAAGUUAGUAUCUACAGAUGGAAUUGUAUCUACAACCAAAUGCCUCUUGUCCCUGAAUUCAGAGUGAUAAUUUUAUAAGUGUGAGACUUAAUUAUGUAGGGCUCCCCCCAUCUAAAUAGAAUUAAUUCCUUAAAGUCUAGUUAGGGUCCUGCUGUCUGUCAUGUUGGCUUGUAACGGAUGUUUCCACCUCCUUCUCCAACCUCUACCCCACCAUUAGUGUAUUUUACCAUAAAAACAGUGGAACCACAGCCCUAAAGUCCUGCUGAUAUAAAGUCUUUUUGUCUUAAUUGUAUUUUAAAAAAAAACUACUCUUGAUCACAU